ACCCUGAUCUAGCCAUGCCGCGUGAGUGAUGAAGGCCCUAGGGUUGUAAAGCUCUUUCAGCUGGGAAGAUAAUGACGGUACCAACAGAAGAAGCCCCGGCUAACUCCGUGCCAGCAGCCGCGGUAAUACGGAGGGGGCUAGCGUUGUUCGGAAUUACUGGGCGUAAAGCGCACGUAAGCGGACCGGAAAAUUGGGGGUGAAAUCCCGGGGCUCAACCCCGGAACUGCCUUCAAAACUAUCCGUCUGGAGUUCGAGAGAGGUGGGUGGAAUUCCGAGUGGAGAGGUGAAAUUCGUAGAUAUUCGGAGGAACACCAGUGGCGAAGGCGGCUCACUGGCUCGAUACUGACGCUGAGGUGCGAAAGCAUGGGGAGCAAACAGGAUUAAAUACCCUGGUAGUCCACGCCGUAAAAGAUGAAUGCCAGUCGUCGGGCAGCAUGCUGUUCGGUGACACACCUAACGGAUUAAGCAUUCCGCCUGGGGAGUACGGUCGCAAGAUUAAAACUCAAAGGAAUU
rnacentral:rRNA from 1 species